AUUCGAAAUCACAUAUAUCCUGUGUGUUUUAAAGUAAAAAUCAUUGGCAGCUUGAAAAAGAAGGUUCACAUGUCAAA
rnacentral:sRNA from 1 species